rnacentral:tRNA from 1 species
AGCGAGGUAGGGUAGUCAGAACGUACCCGGUGGGCUCAUAACCCGCAGAUCGGUGGUUCAAAUCCACCCCUCGCUA